rnacentral:rRNA from 1 species
CCAACAGGGAUUACCUCAGUAACGGCGAGUGAAGCGGUAACAGCUCAAAUUUGAAAUCUGGCCCCUGUGGGGCCCGAGUUGUAAUUUGGAGAAGAUGCUUUGGGUGCGGCCCGGGUCUAAGUUCCUUGGAACAGGACGUCAGAGAGGGUGAGAAUCCCGUAUGUGAUUGGGUGCCCGCGCCCGUGUAAAGCUCUUUCGACGAGUCGAGUUGUUUGGGAAUGCAGCUCAAAAUGGGUGGUAUAUUUCAUCUAAAGCUAAAUAUUGGCCAGAGACCGAUAGCGCACAAGUAGAGUGAUCGAAAGAUGAAAAGCACUUUGGAAAGAGAGUUAAACAGUACGUGAAAUUGUUGAAAGGGAAGCGCUUGCAACCAGACUUGCGUGCGGCCCGUCACCUGGUGCUCGCACCGGGGCACUGGGUCGCGCGCAGGCCAGCAUCGGUUUGGGUGGUUGGAGAAAGGCCGGGAGAACGUGGCUCCCCUCGGGGAGUGUUACAGCUCUCGGUGCCAUGCAGCCUACCCAGACCGAGGACCGCGCUCCGGCUAGGAUGCUGGCGUAAUGGUUGCAAGCGACCCGUCUUGAAACACGGACCAAGGAGUCUAACAUCUAUGCGAGUGUUUGGGUGGCAAAACCCAUACGCGGAAUUAACGUGAACGGAGGUGAGAACCCUUCAGGGUGCAUCAUCGACCGAUCCUGAUGUCUUCGGAUGGAUUUGAGUAAGAGCAUAGCUGUUGGGACCCGAAAGGUAUGUUCAACCCUCCCUCUACCCGUGUGGUUAGUGGUUGUGUAAGGUCCUAUACCUUACGCAACAGCUAACUGUACUUUUUCUUUUGUCAGUAAUAAAAAAACCUUUUAGAUCAUUAGCUAACUUUUUGAGAAGAUGGUGAACUAUGCUUA